AUGGGGCUGCGGCCGGGCUAGGGCUCGGCGAUGUCGGGUUUCGCGCGGCGGCCGGGCGCGACCCCACUAUCGCGGACGCGAAGCCUCGUGGUUCCCGACGCUCCUGCGUUCUAUGAGCGCCGGUCUUGUCUCCCCCAGCUAGACUGUGAGCGCUCCCAUGGCGGGGACCUGCACCCCCAUCUCUUCGGCUUUCGGCCGACGUUUAUGUGCUAUGUGCCCAGCCCGGUGCUGGCUUCCGUAGGAGACACAGAUUUUGGCUAUGGAAAGGAGAAAUGUACUAAGCAAGGUCCGUCGGGAGCCCAUGAGACACGCUUUGGAGGUGACAAACUUGAAGACCUUGAAGAAGCCAAUCCAUUCUCCUUCAAAGAGUUUCUGAAAACCAAGAACCUCAGCCUGUCAAAAGAAGACACAACCAACAGUCGGAUUUACCCGAAGGAAGCUUCAAGGCACCCACUGGGAUUAGACCACAGCUCCCCUGCCUCCCAGCCAGUGGGGUAUGGCCUGGAAUAUCAGCAGCCAUUUUUUGAAGACCCAACAAGAGCCAGCAACCUAGAGGAGGAGGAAGAAGAAGAUGGAUGGAAUAGAGCCUAUCUGCCGUCCGCUGUGGAACAGACUCAUUCCUCUAGAGCCACGGAGACUACAUCACCCUGUGGCACCUACCUUUCUUUUUUUUCCAACACAUCAGAGCUGGCAGGUCCUGAGUCUUUGCCUCCAUGGACGCUGAGUGACACUGACUCAAGGGUCUCCCCAGCAUCUCCCGCUGGGAAUCCCAAUGUAGACUUUGCAGCUCACGAAGAGUCCUUGGGGGACAGACACCUGCGGACACUGCAGAUAAGUUAUGAAGCACUGAAAGAUGAAAAUUCUAAGCUCAGAAGAAAGCUAAAUGAGGUUCAGAGCGUCUCUGAAACUCAAACAGAAAUGCCUAGAAAACUCAACUCAGUGUUUCCUUUACUGAGGGUGAGGACGCUCGAGCGGAAGUUGGAAGAGAAGAUGAUCAAGGAGGAGAGUGACUUCCACAACCUGGAGUCAGUGAUCCAGCAAGUUGAACAGAACCUCGAACUGAUGACCGUACGGAGGGAAGCGGGCUGUGAAAGCAGAAAAUCAUGUCAUGAAGCUGAAACAGGAAGUAAGUUUGCUCCAGGCACAGCUCUCCAACUUCAAGCGAGAAAAUGAAGCCCUGCGGUCGGGUCAGGGCGCCAGCCUUACAGUGGUGAAGCAGAACACCGACGUGGCCUUGCAGAACCUCCAUGUUGUCAUGAACAGUGCACAUGCAUCCAUAAAGCAGCUGGUGUCUGGAGCAGAGACACUGAACCUUGUUGCUGAAAUCCUUAAGUCUAUCGACAGAAUUACUGAAGUUAAGGAUGAGACGGACUCUUGAGAAGCACUGGCUGCCACCAGUUCCCACCACCUCUGCAUGGAUGUCACCUCCCAUCUUCCAAACGUGCUCUUAACUAUGCAGCCUUCACCAAAGCAUUUCACAGCCUCGGUGGCAUUGCUGGCCACCUGAGUACAGAGCUCCUUCCCACCAGCUGCACCGAACAGAUAUACGCAGUCGUUUGGGGAAAGUCACUGAUUUACUGGAAAACAAUUUUAUAAAAUCCAGCAAUUUUUAGAAAUCACUAAAGUUGAAACAGCACUUUUGUAAGAUGUUUGUUCCACUGUCCUCUCACAUUUAGCAGUAGGAUAAGCUCGGGCUUAGCCUCAACGUUAAGUUGAACACUAAGUUGAACCAAUGUGGAAGUGAGCCGCCUGCACAGGGAUUCACACUGUCCUGCAGUGCCCCACUAGCUGAUGGUUGACAUGUGCCCUUCACAGGGUGGCUCCUGCAGUCAGCAGCCUCACCUGAGGCAGCACCACUUGGUAGAUGCUGCUGUCCUCCCAGCAGGACCAUAGGACCAAGGUCACAGAUGUUCCAUGUUGCAAAGCUUUAUAAACUCACUGCUGUGAGCCGUCAGCUUUGGAAAGCCAUUUGGCACUGUCAGUUUUGAUGUAUGUUAGAUGUCGGUGUGCCUUUUGCACAGUGCAGUUCAUGGAGUUUAAUGUGCACACCCUGUG